rnacentral:piRNA from 1 species
UAGCAUCAUUUGAAAUCAGUGUU